CAUUUCUUGCUUGGUUGUCAUAUGGGAAGUGAUGACGUGACUCCCAAGUUUGGUUGUCAUGUGUGAAAGUGAUGACGCGACUCCCAAGUUCUGGUACGUUUUAAAGAUGACAUGGCUCUUGAUUUUUGGUACAUCGUAAUAAUAAUACACGGUUUAAUGAAGAGGAAAUAAUGGCUCUCGGUAUGUUUUAAUGAUGAGGAAAUAAAAUGUCUUAAAAAUAAAAACAGAACAUUGAAAAUGGUUUUUGGUACAUCGUAAUCGUAAUAAUAAUGACACGGUUUAAUGAAGAGGAAAUAAUCG
rnacentral:lncRNA from 1 species